AAUUUGGUUUUAUUUGCUCAGCUGGGCUGAAACUAAAAGCUCCUGACGGAUCUGAGGCGGAGCCGGUUUGUGCCACAAAUAGCAGCAGAGUCGCUUUCAGAGAGGAAAACAAAUGACCAGCAGCAGGAAAUCAGACAGCAGCACGAGUUUGGAAUCACAGCAUCACUUCAGGCUCUUUAAAUAUCUCCUACCUGUGGAUCCCGAAGCUCUUUUUUAAAGUUUAAACUUCUGUGGAUCUGUAGAGAUCAUCAUGGCAGCUGAGGUGAUGUUAAAGCACAGGCGUCAGCCCUGGCUCCACAUGGACACAGCGGGCUGGGGAUCUGAUCCCUACAGAGAGCAGCUUGAUGAAGAGGAAAGAAGACCAAAC